UUUUAGCUGGUCUAGUGGCUAGGAUUCCUGGUUUUCACCCAGGCUGCCCAGGUUCGAUUCCUGAGCAAGGAA
rfam:Sus scrofa isolate TJ Tabasco breed Duroc chromosome 18, whole genome shotgun sequence.